CCUACGGGUGGCAGCAGUGAGGAAUAUUGGUCAAUGGACGAGAGUCUGAACCAGCCAAGUAGCGUGAAGGAUGACUGCCCUAUGGGUUGUAAACUUCUUUUAUAUGGGAAUAAAACAGGGUAUGCAUACCCUCUUGUAUGUACCAUAUGAAUAAGGAUCGGCUAACUCCGUGCCAGCAGCCGCGGUAAUACGGAGGAUCCGUGCGUUAUCCGGAUUUAUUGGGUUUAAAGGGCGCGUAGGUGGAUUGUUAAGUCAGUUGUGAAAGUUUGCGGCUCAACCGUAGAAUGGCAGUUGAAACUGGCAGACUUGAGUACAGUAGAGGUGGGCGGAAUUCGUGGUGUAGCGGUGAAAUGCGUAGAUAUCACGAAGAACUCCGGUUGCGAAGGCAGCUCACUGGACUGCAACUGACACUGAUGCUCGAAGGUGUGGGUAGCAAACAGGAUUAGAUACCCUAGUAGUC
rnacentral:rRNA from 1 species